AGCCCUGACCACAGUUCCGCCGCCAUCGGCCCUAGCCUGCGGAAUUGGGCUCGCCCCGGGACGAUAACAGAGCUCUGCCGGGGGCUGGAGGCACUGACCGGGUGACCAGAGACCCAGAGACCAGACCCCCUCCACGGCGCCCGGGAUUUCGGGGACGGCUUCUCCCAUCGCAAGUUUCAACAGAAAAUGAGAAAUAUCCCCCGACGAUUGGCUGAAAACAUGCAGCAACCACUAUUUUCUUCCUGCCCCUCGUUGAUGAGAGCAUUCGAAGUGACCUCAGCAGGGCAUCCAGAUCAAUUAUGCAGCUACAGCCAAAACCAAGUUCUUUUUAUUGCAAUGGUAAUGAAAGGAGCCCCGUGUAAGUCACUGGAAGGUCACAUGUUCACAGACUGUCAGCUGUGGAGGGUUAUGUAACAGUGGUUAUGCAAUGCCACGUUAGAACUACAGCC
rnacentral:lncRNA from 10 species